ensembl:rRNA 5S_rRNA 5S ribosomal RNA
GUCUACGGCCAUACCACCCUGAAUGCUCCAGAUCUCAUUUGAUCUUGGAAGCUAAGCAGGGUCGGACCUGGUUAGUACUUGGAUGGGAGAACUCCUGGGACUACUAGGCGCUGUUGGCU